CAGCCGCCGCGGUAAUACGAAGGGGGCUAGCGUUGCUCGGAAUUACUGGGCGUAAAGGGCGCGUAGGCGGAUAGUUUAGUCAGAGGUAAAAGCCCAGGGCUCAACCUUGGAACUGCCUUUGAUACUGGCUAUCUUGAGUUCGGGAGAGGUGAGUGGAAUGCCGAGUGUAGAGGUGAAAUUCGUAGAUAUUCGGCGGAACACCAGUGGCGAAGGCGACUCACUGGCCCGAUACUGACGCUGAGGCGCGAAAGCGUGGGGAGCAAACAGGAUUAGAUACCCCGGUAGUCCCUGUCUCUUAUAC
rnacentral:rRNA from 1 species